UACGAAGGGGGCGAGCGUUGUUCGGAAUCACUGGGCGUAAAGCGUGCGUAGGCGGCGAUGAAAGUUAGAAGUGAGAGCCCAGGGCUUAACCUUGGAAUUGCUUUUAAAACUACAUCGCUCGAAUCUCGGAGAGGAUAGCGGAAUUGUCAGUGUAGCAGUGAAAUGCGUAGAUAUUGACAGGAACACCAGUGGCGUAAGCGGCUAUCUGGACGAGCAUUGACGCUGAGGCACGAAAGCGUGGGGAUCAAACAGG
rnacentral:rRNA from 1 species